rnacentral:rRNA from 1 species
UGGGGAAUAUUGCACAAUGGGCGCAAGCCUGAUGCAGCAACGCCGCGUGAGGGAUGACGGCCUUCGGGUUGUAAACCUCUUUUAGCAGGGAAGAAGCGAAAGUGACGGUACCUGCAGAAAAAGCACCGGCUAACUACGUGCCAGCAGCCGCGGUAAUACGUAGGGUGCAAGCGUUGUCCGGAAUUAUUGGGCGUAAAGAGCUCGUAGGCGGUCUGUCGCGUCUGCUGUGAAAUCCCGAGGCUCAACCUCGGGCCUGCAGUGGGUACGGGCAGACUAGAGUGCGGUAGGGGAGAAUGGAACUCCUGGUGUAGCGGUGGAAUGCGCAGAUAUCAGGAAGAACACCGAUGGCGAAGGCAGUUCUCUGGGCCGUAACUGACGCUGAGGAGCGAAAGCGUGGGGAGCGAACAGGAUUAGAUACCCUGGUAGUCCACGCCGUAAACGUUGGGCGCUAGACGUGGGGACCAUUCCACGGUUUCCGUGUCGCAGCUAACGCAUUAAGCGCCCCGCCU